rnacentral:rRNA from 1 species
GACGAACGCUGGCGGCGUGCUUAACACAUGCAAGUCGACCGGAAAGUGCGUGUUUAUGUGGGGUGCUGGAGGCGCGAACGGGUGUGUAACAUGUAGAUCUCCUGCCCUAGCCUUUGGCAUAACUUCGGAACACUUGCUCUUAUCCCAUAUAGUAGUUCUUGCUGCUUGGUUAGUUUUGAAAACUUUCGGCGGUUGGGGAGGGACUUGCGGCUUAUCAGCUUGUUGGUGGGGUAGCGGCUUACCAAGGCGUUGACGGGUAGCCGGCCUGAGAGGGUGAACGGGCAAAUUGGGACUGGGGUACGGGCCAGUACCCUACGGGGGGCAAGAGUUGGGGAUAUUGCAACAUUGGCCGAAGCCUGAUGCAGAGACGCCGUGUGUGGGAGAACGGCCUUCUCGUUAUGUACCGCGUUCGCAGGUGACGAGACGUGAGUGACGGUAAUGAGUGAAGAAGCACCGGCUAACUACGUG